AGAAUCAACGCUGGCGGCGUGCCUAACACAUGCAAGUCGCACGAGAAAGUGGAGCAAUCCACGAGUAAAGUGGCGCACGGGUGAGUAACACGUGAAUGAUCUACCUCCGAGUGGGGAAUAACUGAGAGAAAUCUUAGCUAAUACCGCAUAAUACCCACGGGUCAAAGCAGCAAUGCGCUUGGAGAGGAGUUCGCGGCCGAUUAGCUAGUUGGCGGGGUAAUGGCCCACCAAGGCGAUGAUCGGUAUCCGGCCUGAGAGGGCGCACGGACACACUGGAACUGAAACACGGUCCAGACUCCUACGGGAGGCAGCAGUGGGGAAUUUUGCGCAAUGGGGGAAACCCUGACGCAGCAACGCCGCGUGGAGGAUGAAAUCCCUUGGGAUGUAAACUCCUUUCGAUAGGGAAGAUAAUGACGGUACCUAUAGAAGAAGCCCCGGCUAACUUCGCGCCAGCAGCCGC
rnacentral:rRNA from 1 species